rnacentral:rRNA from 1 species
AGUGAACGCUGGCGGUAGGCCUAACACAUGCAAGUCGAACGGCAGCACAGUAAGAGCUUGCUCUUACGGGUGGCGAGUGGCGGACGGGUGAGGAAUACAUCGGAAUCUACUUUUUCGUGGGGGAUAACGUAGGGAAACUUACGCUAAUACCGCAUACGACCUACGGGUGAAAGCAGGGGAUCUUCGGACCUUGCGCGAUUGAAUGAGCCGAUGUCGGAUUAGCUAGUUGGCGGGGUAAAGGCCCACCAAGGCGCCGAUCCGUAGCUGGUCUGAGAGGAUGAUCAGCAACACUGGAACUGAGACACGGUCCAGACUCCUACGGGAGGCAGCAGUGGGGAAUAUUGGACAAUGGGCGCAAGCCUGAUCCAGCCAUACCGCGUGGGUGAAGAAGGCUUUCGGGUUUUAAAGCCCUUUUGUUGGGAAAGAAAAGCAGCAGGUUAAUACCCCGCUGUUCUGACGGUACCCAAAGAAUAAGCACCGGCUAACUUCGUG